AAAGCUGAAAUAUUCCAAAGCAAUGUUUCACUCAUCCUUCCUCCCAGAUUCUUUUCUCUGCUGCAGUCAAUUCCCCCUCUUUCCAUUUGUAGAGACAAAAGGGAACAUUCUAUAACCACUGGCCUCUGUCCAGGAACACACGAGAAAAUGAAGCAAGGCAAACAACAGAGAAAAGUGAACAACAAAAGAACAAACUCAAACGAAACUGCUUAACGAUCCUACAGGGCAGACCUGGCAGGAAGAAAAAGUGGAUGAGGAAGACCCUUUGGACAUCGUCAAAAGACGCAUUGUUAGCAAAUGAGUGGGGGCCAGUCCUGAGAGCCUGCGAGGCUGUGAACAACUCUCUCACCUGUUCUUCUCUGUCUGUCCUACUCCUCAUGACAAUGACUCUUAUCCUGGAGGGCCUGCAGUAGCGUUUGACACACAUAUCUCAUUUAAUUCUCACAAGAGUCCUAUGAAACAGGCUAGGAUUUGGCAAACCAUUGUCAGCUACCUGUUUUUGUAAAUAUAGUUUUAUUGGAACAUAACCACCACAAUUUAUUUACAUAUUGUCUAUAGCUGUUUUUACUCUACAAUGGCAGAGUUGAGUAGUUGUGACAAAAGCUCUAGGCCCUGAAAAGUGCAAAAUAUUUAUUUUACUAUGUGGCCCUUUACAGCAAAGGUGUGUUGACCCCUCAAAUAAAUGGGACAUUGCUCCCACUUUACAUAUGAGGCACAGAAAAACUAAGCGCAUUGACUAAGAUCAUUUAGGUUAUAAAUUACAGUGUCAGAGAUGUCUCGGACCCAGAGACAACUGUUCCCUAUGCUUUUCUCCUCCCUACCUUGUAGUGUCUCCUACUCUUUCAUAUUCAUUUGUUCCUACUAAAACUGUCAGCCAAAAAGAACACAUUCAUUUGCACUGAACAAGACGUCUCAGGUUGACCAUCACACAGAAGUCAACAGGAGGUUCUGGAGACUUGCAGAAAGUGAUCAUCCAGCCUAUCCUCUCCUCUCCUCUCCUAGCCCCUAAGGACUGAUUUGUAGUCUGCCCAGAGUUUAUAAGAGAGACAGUCAUCCAACAUGAAUAGAGAUGGCCUGAGCAGGCAUGGGCUCUUUGAAAUUCGGAGAGAUCAGCUCAAGGAUACACUGGGAAGAACCAGGUUGCCCCAAGCAAAAGGCAACAACUGCACUUGGUUGAGCAAGAUUCCUUGGGAAGCUUAUCAGAGGCCCCACCUCUAAGGACUGGCCCACAUUUGCCUUGUCUGCCAUUCUUCCCUUACUGAUGUAUUCUGACCCUGUCUUGGCUUGAUUUGUCUUUGGUGUUGCUCAUGACCAUGCUGCCUUCUUCCUGAGAGUUCCCAUCUGGUCCUGGUUUCUGCUUCUCUUGCCUUAGCUCAUACUCAAACCCUGUCAACAGUGGUCUGCAGCUCCUGAGGGGUGUUGAAAAGAUUGCUUCAUUCAAUGCCAUAAAAAUAGCCAAGAAUACGGCAAUUGUUAUAGAAAUUAUGGUAAAUCUGCACAAUGAAAUACUAUGCAGCCAUUAAAACGGACAUCAAUUCAGAUUUCUAAAUGAUACAAUGUAGCAGAGACAGGGCCAGGUUCAGGGAUGUGGGUCCUACACAGUCAUACAGGGCUCCACACUUACAAGGGCCCUACACUUGGUUUAAUGCUCCAUGGCUGCCACCUUGAAAUUCUUAAUAGUUUUAUAACAAGAGUCCUCCACAUUUACAUUUCACAUUGAGCCUACAAAUUAUUAGCUAGUCCUGAGCAGAGAUGACUCUGAGUGCCCAUUUUCUCCUGUCUGUAAUAGAACCUUCUCCCUUUGCUUCAUACAUACACCCUGACUAGUGUUUCCACGCUGGAAUUCCUUUCCAGUAUUUCUUGAGAAUUUUUUAUGUUUCUCCAAAUCUUGAAAGAAAGAUCAGUCAAGAAAUUGGGGAAAAGUAUUGUAAUUAUCCUGCAGGAAUCAAAGCUUAAUGAUCAACAUAAAGACAUCACUGGUUUGAAUCCAUCAAUGUCAAAUGAAAAGCAAGAGCAGGAAAGGCUGGCAGGUGGAAGAGCAUAUAGCACAUAAGAGAGCACAUAAGUCAAGAGCUGAUCAGUCAAUCUUGCUUGUAGCUAUUGUCCUGUUCUAAGUGUGUGUUCUUGGCCCUGACUGAUGCUAAUGGCAAGUCAUUCUUGGAAAUAAAAUAAACAGUAUUAGGUUUAUAUGUAUGUAUACUUUAUUCAAAUCCUGCUAGUGAUGUUCUAGGAAAUAACAAAUUUGGGAAGCAAAAUACGCCCUUAAUUGGCAAUUUCAAUGUGUGAUUUCUGUGUAGUGCUUUAAAUUUGCUAGGAGAUCUGAAUGUCACAUUCUUUGAAUAUUACCCAAAAAUGUUCACUGGUAUUUUCUAAUGUUUGAUUUUUUUUUAUCUCAGGCUAUAGUUGUUUAUAAAUUCACUAAACUUAAUAUUUCUUAUUUAUUAAACCAAUUUCUUUUAGAUAUCCAUAGUAAUGAAUAAAAAGUAUAAAAAUUGCU